rnacentral:rRNA from 1 species
AUUGAACGCUGGCGGCGUGCUUAACACAUGCAAGUCGAGCGGUAACAGGCGUAGCAAUACGCGCUGACGAGCGGCGAACGGGUGCGUAAUACAUGGGAAUCUGCCCUUUGGUGGGGAAUAACCCGGCGAAAGCCGGGCUAAUGCCGCAUAAGAUCUUCGGAUGAAAGCGGGGGAUCGUAAGACCUCGCGCCGAUGGAUGAGCCCAUGUCGGAUUAGCUAGUUGGUGAGGUAACGGCUCACCAAGGCGACGAUCCGUAGCUGGUCUGAGAGGACGGCCAGCCACACUGGGACUGAGACACGGCCCAGACUCCUACGGGAGGCAGCAGUGGGGAAUAUUGGACAAUGGGGGAAACCCUGAUCCAGCGACGCCGCGUGUGUGAAGAAGGCCUGCGGGUUGUAAAGCACUUUCGAUGGGAACGAAAUGUGCCGGGCUAAUACCCCGGCAAGCUGACGUUACUCAAUGAAGAAGCACCGGCUAACUCUGUGCCAGCCGCCGCCGUAACAC